ACUAUACUAAAGAUGAUCAACUUCGAUUUUUCUCAGUUUUUUGGAUUAAUUUUGUGCCCUUCCCGUUUGCUGACACGUGUAUUCUUUUGCAUCCGUCUGGUUCCGUGUGUACAUGUGGGGAUGCCUAGCUUUUCUUCUUUGGUUAUUCUCUGUCUGUUUGCUUAUUUCUUUCUUCCUUCCGUGUGCCCAUAAUAUUUUCCCAUGCCCUGCUGCUGUUCCAUCAUGGGCCAGAGUGUCUCCCACCGCUUUGACUGCCUUGGCAAUGCACAGAGCGUGGACUGACUAUCCAAUUUGCACCCCACCCUCCCCUCACCUCUCCAAACGCAGGCCCAGGGCCUGAGCUCUGCUUGCCCUUCCUGGCCACGCCCGUCGCCGCCGCACGGCUCCACGGAGCCGCGGCUCCGGCUCCUCCCCAUCUUUUCUUUCCCCGCGACGGCACGGUCGUCAUCCUCGCCGGCGGGUACGAGGCCGUGGUGGCCUGUCUCGCGCCUCUCCUCGCGCAACUCGGCAGACCGGUAGCGGCUAGAGCACCAAAAUUGCCCCCAGAUCGCGGUCACAGGAGCGGUGGCCGGCCCUCGCCGCCGCCACCGUUCUCAACGUGCGGCAGUUCCUAGGCCCAUCUCCAAGGGUGCGGCAGCCGGUGGGGUCGCGCGUCUGUUCCUAGGCGUCGUCUCCAAGGCCGCGGCGGCCGGCGAGCUCGGAUCUUUUCGGCUAUGAGUACGGCAGAUGAGCGAGUCUCUCCUUGCUUUUUUCUCCACAAGCGAGAUCCUGAGGCCAACGAUCUACAGUCACCACCUGAGCACCCGAUCGACGAUUUGGUGUGCGGGUAUGGUCUCUUCCUCCUUCUCCGUCCUUUCCAUAACCACUCUUGGUUGGUUCUGCUCAGCCAUUCCUCCACCCUUCGCCUCAUAUCAUCUCUCUAUGGAAGCAGUGGACAAGGCGAUGACUAGGACACCGCCAACGUUUUCGUUCGUGGAGCAGCCACCCUGGGCUGUCGAUUUUCUAGGAUGAGGAGGAAGGCAAUGUCUCUGUAGUAUCCAUCUUGGGUCCCCAUGAACAGCAGGGAUUCACGAUGACACAGCCAUCUACGAGCACUGGAGGCAACAAGAAUAAUAGAUUUGAGAGGUUUCAUGGAGUGUUGCUAUGUUGCAAUUUUUUAGCAGUUUCGACGGGUAGGUUUAUUUCAGCCACAAUUUUUUGUUUCCUUCUACUGAUUGGUUUGGAUGUUUAUGUGAUGCCCCUGAUGCUAUUUACUCUAAAUUAAAUAGGUAAGGACCCCUUUUCUUUAUCAGAAAUUUCGAGGAAUAUAUCAUAAGUAUAGAAACUAUAAUUUCUUGCGUGGUUAGACCAGUCUAACUAAUGUCUGCCUCAUGUAGAUUUAUGAUGAUUAUGUAUGAAGGCCCAGAAAAAUGUACCAGCUUCUAUACAAUAAUAGGUUUCAAAAGGAAAGAUAUAUAUACAACGGUUAAGGUUAUUCAGAUGAUGUGUUUCAUCCCUAAGGGGUGCUAUGGGUCAACACUGUAAUUCAGACAACCCAUGAACUGACUAUUCGUGACUAAUUGGAGGAGCAGGGUAAUGCUAACACAACUAAGUUCAGAUAGCUGCACAUAACAUAUGCAACUAUCGAGUGCUUAAGCUACCUACAGGAGUUGAUGCAUCUUCAGAAAACACAAUCAUGGUUUGAUUACUGAACUUUACAAGUUUGAACUAUGCUGAACUUGUUGGCUUGCAAUUCUUUAGCCUUCAGUAAUUGAUCUCAAGUCUAUGGUUGGCUGGUUGCUACUUUAUCAAGACAACAACAGGCUGAAGGCCAACAAUGAACACAGUAGACGCUUUGAUUUGGCAUCUGUACAUCAGCGAAUUCUUGAUCUAGACAAAUAACAAUGUAAUUUAUAAUUUAUCUUUGACAAGAGUAUAUGAGCCUGAAACUAGACCUACCUUUCCGCCAUCCAUGCAUGACUAAUAAAGGCAUGAUGCUACCAGGGUUACAUUUUGCUGUACAAAGACAGGCGCCCAGGUCACGAAUUCUGUUUCAGCUCAAAUACAAUAUACAUAGUAGUAAAUUACAUAUGUUGUAAAUUUUGCUAAAUCUAGAGCAGCACAAAUAUAUCUAAAGUUAGGCUUUCGAUCAUUGAUUUUGAGAGAGUGCACAAUCAUGACCAACCCGAGGUCUCUCUUUUUGUGAAAUAUUGCAGCCAGUAGCUGAGCAAGAUUCUAGAAGGAGGCAAGGACAUCUCUAAUUUCCUAUGUCACAUGUUGCAUAGAAAUGGAGUUUGCUUCUGAAGCUAUUGCGAGCCAGAGAAUUCUACUUUUUCGGGGCAGCGAGGAAUCGUCCGUAAAAAAGCUGUAAGAAAAGUGACUAGCAUAGGAUUUUCAUGAAGUACAUGAACUCUUAUUUUCACGCUGGAGGCACGAAUCAUCUUUAUUGGUAGAUGACCUAUAGUUUAACC